CUAGCUACCUUGGAAUUUUAAAUAAACAAUAAAUAGAUUUUUGUACGGUUAUGCCUUAUGAGAUAGGUGAGACAUACUUAUGCUAAAAAUUGGAAUCAGUCAUCUGAAAUUCAAAGUUAACAGUGCAGCUUGUA
rnacentral:miRNA from 1 species